rnacentral:pre_miRNA from 1 species
UCUUAAGAAUGAUCAAAGAAAGUCAUUUUUUGAGAUGGAAUUUAAUCCAGUGAAGAAACUGUGAA